GAUCUUUGUAGAGUUAUCGACUGAAUAUUUUCAGUAGACGGCUGUGUCUCAUAGACUGUUUGGAACAAUCAUGUGCUAUUAUACAGGUAAUUUAAAUGGGCAAAAAUGUAUUUAAAAAUUGACUGCUAAUUUAAGAAUUAUAUUUGUGGUGAUUUUUAUCAUAUUGCAAUGUGGCUGUUAAAUUGGCCGUUUUUAAUUUAUGUAAUCUUAUUUUUAUUUUACCUUUCUUUAUUUAGCUUUGCUAUUCUGAUGGUUCACCUUGCUUUUAAAUCAGUUUCUGGCUCAAGCAUUGCUUAACAGACCUGCUGUUAAUGUUUGUGAUCUUUUAGCUGUUUUUAGUUGUUUAUCUUAACUUCAAUUUCCAAAGACUCAUUAUUGUGUUUUAUUUUUCCUCUAGAUGUGAUUUUAAAUUCUGAUUGAAGGCACAUUAUCUUAGCUGUAGCUCCUACAGAUCUGUGGUUGAUCUCCCAGAAAUGAAAAGUAAGCACACUGUUUAAAAAAAAAAAAAAAAAGUCUCCUACUUUAAAACCCAAAUGUAAAGGAUGAAAAUAAAACAUAAUUUGAACUAUUACUCCCUUCAGAUCAAAGGAAUAGUUCACCCAGAAAUGGGUGCUGACCAUUUUCUCACCCUCAGGCUGUCCAAGAUGUAGAUGAGUUUGUUUCUUCAUUGGAACAGAUUUGGAGAAAUUUAGCAUUAGAUCACUUGCUCACCAGUGGAUAGUCUGCAGUGAAUGGGUGCCGUCAGAAUGAGAGUCCAAACAGCUGAUAAAAACAUCACAAUAAUCCACAGGUCUUGUGAAGUAAACUACUGUAAUCUUUUAAGUGUGUCGGAACCACAUGUCUGGCAUGAUUAUCACAUUAUCUGUCCGUUCUGUAUCACAGCAAUCGUGGAAGUU